UCUAUCCGGAGAAGUGUUACAGGCAUGGCUGCUAUGUCACAUGUGUGUCAGUAGGUGGCAGAGAGGAGAGAGGCUAUGUCUAAACUCAGUGUUCUGACCUGUGAACAUCUGAAUGAUUAGUAGCCUAACACC
ensembl:snoRNA LOC120100415 small nucleolar RNA SNORA17